ensembl:processed_transcript
UUCAGGUUCUUUAGAUUUCUUUAAAAAUCCAAUUUUGUUUUCUAAUAAGCAAAAAGUAAAAUCACUUUACCCAUGUUUAUAUGUUAAAUUGCACUUGUCUCUCUCUCUAUCUCUGUUAACACAUUUAUAUUUGUUUGAUUAAUUCUUGUGUCUUUCAGCCUGUUUCUGCCUAUCAUCAUGAGUGAUUCCUCAAUACUCAGAUUUAUCAUCAAGAUCUCAAUUAUAAGCUCAAGUUUUGAUGACAACUUGGUGAUCUGCAGAAAGCACCACCAUGUAAGGAAGGCCAAGACCACUCUGGAAUCAGUCAAGGGUGAAAUGGAGUGAGGCAUACCAGGAUAUGCCUGGUUUUACUUUUGGAAAGGAGGUUGAACAGUGCAAUAUUUCUUCUAUAGGAUUGCAGUGACCAGACAUGCUACUGUAACUCUCAUGGUCAUGUGCUGGAAUUAGCAGAUAUUCAACAAUUUGGCCAUCUCGCUGACCUGUUGAUAUCAGAAGACCGCAACAGCUCUGCAAAGCAAGUUGGAAAACAGAAUCCAUGAAACUGGCAGUGACUGGAAACCAGUUGGAAGACUUUGGUCUGUGAUGUAGAGGAGUGGGCAGAGGCAGAAGCAAAGACAACAAAAAGAAGAAGUGAUGUGGAUGUCUUCGUCAUAUUGCAUGACUCUGCUGACCCAGCAACAAAGAGGAGG